rnacentral:snRNA from 1 species
GGAUGUGAGGGCGAUCAGGCUGUGACAUCUGUCACCCCAUUGAUCGCCAGGGUUGAUUCGGCAGAUCUGGCUGGCUAGGAGGGUGCCCUCUCCCUCCCUCAAUGAUCCAGGUGCAUCCCUCCCGAAGCUGUGUGCUUGGUCAAAGAGGACAACCACCCCUGAUAGAGGAGGACUGUUUCUCGGUCAGGGUUAUAUGAGUAGCUGUGCUCCCCUGCUAGAACCUUCAAACAAGCUCUCAAGGUCCAAAGAGUUUGUUCAAAGAUUAAAUACAUGGCCCGGGGAGAUGGCUCAGUAGAAUAAGCACUUGCCUGGCAAGUGC